rnacentral:rRNA from 1 species
UGGGGAAUUUUCCGCAAUGGGCGAAAGCCUGACGGAGCAAUACCGCGUGAGGGAUGACGGCCUAUGGGUUGUAAACCUCUUUUUUCAGGGAGGAACAAAAUGACGUGUACCUGAAGAAUAAGCAUCGGCUAACUCCGUGCCAGCAGCCGCGGUAAGACGGAGGAUGCAAGUGUUAUCCGGAAUCACUGGGCGUAAAGCGUCUGUAGGUGGUUAAAUAAGUCAACUGUUAAAUCUCGAGGCUCAACCUCGAAAUCGCAGUCGAAACUAUUAGACUAGAGUAUAGUAGGGGUAAAGGGAAUUUCCAGUGGAGCGGUGAAAUGCGUAGAGAUUGGAAAGAACACCGAUGGCGAAGGCACUUUACUGGGCUAUUACUAACACUCAGAGACGAAAGCUAGGGUAGCAAAUGGGAUUAGAUACCCCCGUAGUCC